rnacentral:rRNA from 1 species
UACGGAGGGGGCUAGCGUUGUUCGGAAUCACUGGGCGUAAAGGGUGCGUAGGCGGGGCUUUAAGUCAGGGGUGAAAUCCUGGAGCUCAACUCCAGAACUGCCUUUGAUACUGAGGAUCUUGAGUUCGGGAGAGGUGAGUGGAACUGCGAGUGUAGAGGUGAAAUUCGUAGAUAUUCGCAAGAACACCAGUGGCGAAGGCGGCUCACUGGCCCGAUACUGACGCUGAGGCACGAAAGCGUGGGGAGCAAACAGG